UUCUUGUUGAUCUUGCUGUGAGCAGUGCUGAAAUAAAGCUCCUUCAUUGCCUAAUGGAGUACUUUGUCAGACACUACAAGCAGACCCCUACUAGUCUAGUAACUUUCAUUUCUUACCUGUGUAGUUGCACUUAACGCACUGCGCUUUCUCGCGCAUGCCUAAAGAACUUCUGCUAAGAAAGCAGGGAAGCUCCCAUUCAAAUCUGGACUCAGACUCAAGACUCGGACUUGGACUUGAAUGAUAGUGAUUCGGACUUGGACCUGGAUCCUGAUGACUCGGACUCGACACUCGACACUCGACACUCGACACAGACUCGGACUCAAGGACCCGACCCGAACCCGCUACAACACCGUCUUCUUACCCGUGACCCGACCCGCUUUAAUAAGACCUGCAACCCGACCCGAACAUUGAAGUGUUUGUCCUUUACUUACUCACUCUCUACUCUCUACUUUUUUUUACUCUUAUUUGAAUUUGAUCUUUUGCUACUCAUUUUAUUGUACUUUACAACUGCUAUUAUCUGUAAUGUGAUAUUCUGAAAUGUGAUACUUUACAAUAUGAUACUUUGUACUGUGAUAUUUUGUAAGAAGUAAAUAAUAAUAAUGUUGACCAUGA